UCCUGUCCUCAGAUGUCUGUGUGGACACAGUUUUCUCUGUUCAUGUGUAGGAGGGCCCAGUGAUAGCCCCCAGUAUGAGUUGAACUGCUGACAUAGUGCCAUGCUGUGACUUGGACACCCUCUUCAAGGCUGUGGCCUCAAUUCUUAGAAUGGGUAAUGCAGUGGAGCCGGGUGCUGAUUGUAGUCACAGAAGAUGGUUAUGUGUGGGUGCUGAGCUGCAUAUCAAAGAACCCCAUCACUUCACUUACGCUUUGAAGCAAGAUCUCAGGUGGAAGCCAGCAAAGGUGUUUGCUGCUGUGCACUCAAUACAGACCUGGAAAGAUACUUUGUCCCAGUCAACGACAUUUACUUUUAGUUGCCUUGGUGCCAGAGAGAUUUCGGCUGGCUGAUAACUCAUACUCAUCACUUCAGAAACUGCAAAAGCUUCAAGUGGCUUUGCUGCACUAAUCAGUUUUCUCCUAGCAAUGAAGGCAGCAGGAGACCCAAAUGGAGUUCCAGGCUCCUAGGUUCAGCAUGGCCCAGACCCAGCUAUUGUGGCCAUUUGGGAAUUGAACCAGCAAAUGAAGAUCUCUGUCUCUCCCUCUCUGUAACUCUGCCUUUCA